rnacentral:tRNA from 1 species
GGCCCCAUCGUCUAGUGGCCUAGGACUCUGGAUUUUCGUUCCAGCAACUGGGGUUCAAAUCCCCAUGGGGUCA